rnacentral:rRNA from 1 species
UUGAAAGGGAAACGAUUGAAGUCAGUCGUACCGGUGGGUAAUCAGCCUUUUGGGCGUGAUUAUGUAGAGCGUGAGGAGCUAAACACCUUCAUGCCUGCGUAUUCGUGCACUUUGGGUGUACUUGCCCGCAUGGUUGGUUAACAUCAAUUUCGGAAGCCAUAAAAUGGUUGGAGGAAUGUGGCUUCGACCUCGGUUGAAGUGUUAUAGCCUUCAGCAGAUGUGGUGAUCGAGAUUGAGGAUUGCAACGGAUACCCUUCGGGGCUACCUGUCUGAUCUCUGAUCGUUACUCUGGUGUCGAAAGCGUGCUUACGGUCAUCA